rnacentral:rRNA from 1 species
UAUCAGCACCCCGAGUGGUCGGGACGUUUUAUUGGGCCUAAAGCAUCCGUAGCCGGUUCUACAAGUCUUCCGUUAAAUCCAACUGCUUAACAGGUGGGCUGCGGAAGAUACUAUAGAGCUAGGAGGCGGGAGAGGCAAGCGGUACUCGAUGGGUAGGGGUAAAAUCCGUUGAUCCAUUGAAGACCACCAGUGGCGAAGGCGGCUUGCCAGAACGCGCUCGACGGUGAGGGAUGAAAGCUGGGGGAGCAAACCGG